rnacentral:rRNA from 1 species
UACGAGGGGGCGAGCGUUGUUCGGAAUUAUUGGGCGUAAAGGGUGCGUAGGAGCGGCCUGACAAGUCUGAUGUGAAAUCCCUGGGCUCAACCCAGGGCCUGCAUCGGAAACUGUCGGCUUGAGUAUGGGAGAGGUGAGUGGAAUUUCCGGUGUAGCGGUGAAAUGCGUAGAUAAUCGGAAGGAACACCUGUGGCGAAAGCGGCUCACUGGACCAUUACUGACGCUGAGGCACGAAAGCUAGGGGAGCAAACAGG